UACAGAGGGUGCAAGCGUUAAUCGGAAUUACUGGGCGUAAAGCGUGCGCAGGCGGUUUUGUAAGUUUGUCGUGAAAUCCCCGGGCUCAACCUGGGAAUUGCGAUGAAGACUGCAAGGCUAGAAUCUGGCAGAGGGGGGUAGAAUUCCACGUGUAGCAGUGAAAUGCGUAGAGAUGUGGAGGAACACCGAUGGCGAAGGCAGCCCCCUGGGUCAAGAUUGACGCUCAUGCACGAAAGCGUGGGGAGCAAACAGG
rnacentral:rRNA from 1 species